rnacentral:rRNA from 1 species
GACGAACGCUGGCGGCGUGCCUAAUACAUGCAAGUCGAGCGGACGAAUCGAAAGCUUGCUUUUGAUUCGUUAGCGGCGGACGGGUGAGUAACACGUGGGCAACCUGCCCUGUAGACGGGGAUAACACCGAGAAAUCGGUGCUAAUACCGGAUAACACGAAAUGUCGCAUGACGUUUCGUUGAAAGACGGCGCAAGCUGUCGCUACAGGAUGGGCCCGCGUCGCAUUAGCUAGUUGGUGAGGUAACGGCUCACCAAGGCGACGAUGCGUAGCCGACCUGAGAGGGUGAUCGGCCACACUGGGACUGAGACACGGCCCAGACUCCUACGGGAGGCAGCAGUAGGGAAUCUUCCGCAAUGGACGAAAGUCUGACGGAGCAACGCCGCGUGAGCGAAGAAGGCCUUCGGGUCGUAAAGCUCUGUUGUUAGGGAAGAACAAGUAACGCAGUAACUGGCGUUACCGUGACGGUACCUAACGAGAAAGCCACGGCUAACUACGUG